rnacentral:rRNA from 1 species
CAGCCGCCGCGGUAAGACGAACCGUGCGAACGUUAUUCGGAAUUACUGGGCUUAAAGCGCGUGUAGGCGGGCCGCCACGUCGGUCGCUGAAAUCCCCCGGCUCAACCGGGGAAGUGGCAUCGAUACGAGCGGCCUUGAGGGGGGUAGGGGGAUCUGGAACUUCCGGUGGAGCGGUGAAAUGCGUUGAGAUCGGAAGGAACGCCCGUGGCGAAAGCGAGGUCCUGGACCCUUUCUGACGCUGAGACGCGAAAGCCAGGGGAGCGAACGGGAUUAGAUACCCGCGUAGUCCCUGUCUCUUAUU